GAGUUUGAUCGUGGCUCAGGAUGAACGCUGGCGGCGUGCCUAACACAUGCAAGUCGAACGGAGUUCUUAAGGAAUGCGGCUUCGGCCAAAUGACUUUUGAACUUAGUGGCGGACGGGUGAGUAACGCGUGAGCAACCUGCCUUUCAGAGGGGGAUAACAUUUGGAAACAGAUGCUAAUACCGCAUAAGAUUACAGUACCGCAUGAUACAGUGAUCAAAGGAGCAAUCCGCUGAAAGAUGGGCUCGCGUCCGAUUAGAUAGUUGGUGAGGUAACGGCUCGCCAAGUCGACGAUCGGUAGCCGGACUGAGAGGUUGAACGGCCACAUUGGGACUGAGACACGGCCCAGACUCCUACGGGAGGCAGCAGUGGGGAAUAUUGCACAAUGGGCGAAAGCCUGAUGCAGCAACGCCGCGUGAGGGAAGACGGUUUUCGGAUUGUAAACCUCUGUUUUCGGUGACGAACAAAUGACGGUAACCGAGUAGGAAGCCACGGCUAACUACGUGCCAGCCG
rnacentral:rRNA from 1 species